rnacentral:rRNA from 1 species
UACGUAGGGGGCAAGCGUUGUCCGGAUUUAUUGGGCGUAAAGAGCGUGUAGGCGGCCGCACAGGUCCGUUGUGAAAACUGGAGGCUCAACCUUCAGACGUCGAUGGAAACCGUGCGGCUAGAGUCCGGAAGAGGAGAGUGGAAUUCCUGGUGUAGCGGUGAAAUGCGCAGAUAUCUGGAGGAACACCGGUGGCGAAGGCGGCAUCCUGGACCGAUACUGACGCUGAGGAGCGAAAGCCAGGGGAGCAAACGGG